UGCCAAACUUUAUAGUUGUAGUAGUAGUGGGGGAACAGGCCAUUUAAAAAGACAUCAAGAGAGUCAUAGGAUACAUGAUUCUCAUGCUCAAAGUACCCUUAAUAUACAAGGAGGAUCACUUGUAGGUAAUUUUGCAUAUAAUCAUGAAAAUCAAAGAAAAACACUUGUAAAAUGGAUAGUUAAGGAUGAAUUACCUUUUAGUUUAUGUGAAU
rnacentral:lncRNA from 1 species